rnacentral:misc_RNA from 1 species
AAGUCGUAACAAGGUUUCCGUAGGUGAACCUGCGGAAGGAUCAUUAAUGAUUUUUAAAGCGAGUCGAGCAUUAAGCGAGGCUUGCGAAAAUAUUUAAAACCCCACUCUUUUUAACUAAAAAAAUAAAUCAUGAUACAUGAAUUUGAAAAAAAAGAUCACUUUCAACAACGGAUCUCUUGGCUCUC